AUGCCUGUUAACAAAUCAUCUGCAAUUAAUAAGUUUGGAGGAAUAUCUUCUCCUUAUCGUGAGGAACUCUUGAAAUUUAAUUUUCAGAACUCAAGUAAAAAUAAGAGUCAUAAAUCAAGGUCAUUAUUAUUAAUUAGAGAAAAGUUCAUCUUGAAAUUCAAUCAAACACAGAAUCCAGUAGAGAAGAAAGAACUAUUGGAACAAGCGAGAAAAAACAUUCUCAGAUGUAAGAGAAAAUUGGGUCUCAGUUCCUUGGGUUGUGGGAAGCAUGUGCAUCUUCCUUUUGCAUGGACUGAAGUAAUAUAUCUGGCGCAAUGCAAAGGAGAAAUCCAAGAUGAAUCAGUUUUAUAUAGACUCUGUUGUGAUGCAUUCCUGAAGGACUUUUUAUAUUCUGUUGAGAUAAAGCUGACAAAGAUUGGAUAUUUGAUCUUCUUACGACUUUUUAUAUUUUUCCUCCAUGGUCAACUAGCAAAUUUUAAAGGACAUUUACUUAGGCUUCAACCGUAUUCAUAUGCACUUUUUUCCUCUGGAGAGUCAUAUCGCAAGUAUCCAAACAUCUUUUCAAAUAUCCAGUUCAUCCUGAAAACGUUAGAAAUUAUAUGCGAAAGAGAACUCCUUUCUGAAUCAGGUUUUAGCACUGGGGAAAAUAAGGAAGGAUUUGAGGACAAAGAUUCUGAUAUGGCACACUUGCAAUGUAAUCAUGGAAGCUAUGAAGUUAACCCCCUGCUCUGGCAUUGUGUUGCUUGUUGGUUUUGUGUUCAGAGUAAUAGUCCUCAGCUGAGUAGUGUGCUUGAGCAUCUCAUCUUGCAUAAAAUGCAGCUUCAGAAGAAAUGCUGGUUGGAUUUGGUACUGGCCUUGCUGGUCCUUGGGGAAGCUGCCAAACUAAAUAUGGCCUGCUUGAAAACUUUCAUGGACCUAAUGAGAGAUUUUCUUUUAAGCAUUAUGUCUGUUGAGAAACAGAAGGAAAGGUGCACGGGAGAUGAUCUCUCCUGGGCCUGGAGUGUAGUUCAUACAUACACAACGAUCAUUGCAGAGGUCUGUUUGUAUGCGGCCACAUCAGAUUUGCGGAAAACUGCCUUUCUUGGUCUCUGUGGAUGUAAACGUCCACAAAAAAAUAUUUUACUCAUUGACAAAUCGGAAGAGCCAGAAUUACAGGAAACAAGUAUUUUAAGUCUUUUGGAAUUCUUCUCUUCAAAAAUAUCAGAUAAUUGUGAUCAAUUGGUCUGGAUCGGAUACUACGGCUUAGUGUAUAACCUGGUGAAAAUGUCCUGGGAACUUCAGGGGGAUGUGGAACAGGAUGGACUUGGAAACAUGAUUUGGCAAACAUUACAAAAAACAAAGGAUUAUGAGAAAGAUGGACGGAUCCUAAAUGGAAUAAAUAUUGCCCAGGCUGAGUUAAAUGACCGAACUGAUCCUUUCACUAGAUACAGUACAAAAGUUCCAUCAAAUGCAAGGGAAGAGGUUUUCUCUAAAUACAUUGGGUGCAGAGUUGCCAACACACUUUCCAAACUACUGUUUCCACCUCUCGAUGUCCAUGUGCUUCCUUUGAAGAAACCAGAGGUGAAACAGGAUCAAAUGAAAUAUCUAAAUAAAAAACAGGAGUCUGUGAAGAAGAGAGUUCUACAUUCUACUGUAAGUGGCAGAAAGAGCUAGAGAUCCGACAAAGAGAAGUUGCAAUAUGUGAAGCCAAAGAACAGAAAGAUAAAGAGUUAGAGGAGAAAAAACACUUCCAAGAAGUUAUGAAGCAAAGAGAAGAGAAAUUGCACAAGCAUACUAAACCCUAUGAGCUUCCUCCCAGGACUGAAGUAAUUUCAUUAGAAAAGACAAUGACUCACAAAAAAACUGAUGUCUACAUGCCAUAAAUUGCUAGCAUGGAAAAGAUCAAGAUGGCUACCUAAAUACUAGAAAAAUGUUUUUGUAAUUAACUUGAGGUUCUUUUUGUUUGGAAAGUUGUUAUCCUGGUGCAAGCUGUCUAAUAGUCAUUGUUUAAUCUUACCUUAGUAGUUAACUCCAAAUCAAAUUUAAAAGAUUUCACUAGUUAUAAAUUUCCAAGACUACAGCUAGUGCUUUUCUCAAUUGAGUCUUCUCCUCUGAAGUAUAGUAUUCUUGAUCAGUCAUUCUCAGAGUGUUGAUAUUCAUUGGAUUAUAUCAUAAAAAUGAACUGAAAAUUAAUUAAUGAGUCGGUCUAUAAGAAUUGUUUUUUCAAACUAGAGUUAUCACUGUCUUAUACAUCUAUAAUUGCUAUUAUUCAAAUAAAAGAACUUAUGGUGUCUCUUUGGAUUUGCAUUUUAUAGUCAAUUUAUCCCAAACUGAACUUUAUAUCAGGGACUUGAACUUGAUAAAUUACUGUACAUAAGCAAAUCUGGAAGUGUCAGUCACCUCUGAUUGGUUUGAUCUUUCAUGAAUGCUAGAGGAAACCUCUGAGUGACAGUGGUUUUACUUUGCCUGAGGAGUUGAUGAGAAUAUAUUUGUAUGAUGCUGGAAUGAAUGGUCAGUACCAAUUAUUGGAGGCAUUCAUCCAAUCAGAAAUUAUUUUAUAAAUGGAAUUUCACUUCACCUGAAGCUUUCAGACUAUGAAUAAGAGUAAAGGGAUGGGGUUCCGGUGAUGCCUUUUAUUCCUUUUCUGAAAAAAUAUAGAUAGCAUAUUUUCCAUUAUUUUUCUUCAAUUUUACACACAUUUUUUUUACACCCAUAUUUUAGUAAUAGUCAAGAGACAGGUGUCAAGUGACUACAUGGGUGAGGGGUCAACAUAAAUUAGUGAAGGGGUGAGGGAAUACCUAACCUAUCUAAAACAUUGCCUAAUACUUGACUACAUUUUGAAAUUUAUGUCAAGCAUUGUAAGAUUAUCUAGUCUUUUUUUAUGAGUUGGAGUCUCACUACACAGUUCAGAAUAGCCUUGAACUCACUGUGUAGCCCAGGUAGGCCUUGAACUCACAGCAAUCUCCCUGUCUCAGCCUCCUGAGUGCUGGGAUUACAGGGGGGCACCACCAUGCCUGGCUGAAAAUUAUCUAGCCUUUGAAGAAGAAGCCUUUAAAUGACAUUUAUUUUUUUUAAUUGGAAGUUCCUAAUUUUUAUAAUGUUGGCAACUAAUUUUUUAAAAUUAUAUACUUUCAGGACUAUAUUUUAUGGAGUUGAGGUAUGAUUAUUUUUGAUAGCAAUAACAUGGUAGAAAAAAUGUUGGAAGUAGGUUUC
rnacentral:lncRNA from 1 species